rnacentral:rRNA from 1 species
UACGAAGGGUGCAAGCGUUAUUCGGAAUUACUGGGCUUAAAGAGUUCGUAGGCGGCGCGGAAAGUAGGGUGUGAAAGCCCUCGGCUCAACCGAGGAAUUGCGCUCUAAACUGCCGUGCUUGAGGAACCUAGAGGUGAGCAGAACUGAUGGUGGAGCGGUGAAAUGCGUUGAUAUCAUCAGGAAUACCGGAGGCGAAGGCGGCUCACUGGGGGUUAUCUGACGCUGAGGAACGAAAGCCAGGGGAGCGAACGGG